CGGUUCGUCGCUCGCGACGCCAACUGGCGCGCACCGCUGGACGUCCAGCCGGUACAACGAACUCGCCUACGGGGUGCUCUUAACCGAGUGUCCAGGCGGGGGCCGGCAACGUUACUUUGAACAAAUUAAAGUGCUUAAAGCAGGCUAAAUUGCGCUCGCAUACACGCGCAUGGAAUAAUCGAAUAGGACCUCCGUUCUAUUUUGUUGGGUUUUUGUGGAACGACAGACGGAGGUAAUGAUCAAUGGGUGCGGAUGGGGGCAUUCGUAUUGCGACGUUAGAGGUGAAAUUCUUGGAUCGUCGCAAGACGGACUUAAGCGAAAGCAUUUGCCAAAAACGCUUUCAUCGAUCAAGAACGAAAGUUAGAGGUUCGAAGGCGAUCAGAUACCGCCCUAGUUCUAACCAUAAACUAUGCCAGCUAGCGAUCCGCCGAAGUUACUUCUAUGACUCGGCGGGCAGCUUCCGGGAAACCAAAGCUUUCGGGUUCCGGGGGAAGUAUGGUUGCAAAGCUGAAACUUAAAGGAAUUGACGGAAGGGCACCACCAGGAGUGGAGCCUGCGGCUUAAUUUGACUCAACACGGGAAACCUCACCAGGCCCGGACACCGGAAGGAUUGACAGAUUGAGAGCUCUUUCUUGAUUCGGUGGGUGGUGGUGCAUGGCCGUUCUUAGUUGGUGGAGCGAUUUGUCUGGUUAAU
rnacentral:rRNA from 1 species